rnacentral:tRNA from 1 species
UAGCUCAGUGAUUAAAGCGUCUGCCUGAAAUGCGGGAGACCCGGGUUCAAUCCCUGG